rnacentral:rRNA from 1 species
GAUGAACGCUAGCGGGAGGCUUAACACAUGCAAGUCGUGGGGCAGCAUUUGGUAGCAAUACUGAGAUGGCGACCGGCGCACGGGUGAGUAACGCGUAUGCAACCUACCCUGUACAGGGGGAUAACCCGGAGAAAUUCGGACUAAUAUCCCAUGGAAAUAUCGGAGGGCAUCUUUUGAUAUUUAAAGUUCCGGCGGUACGGGAUGGGCAUGCGUAACAUUAGCUAGUUGGUAGGGUAACGGCCUACCAAGGCUUUGAUGUUUAGGGGUCCUGAGAGGGUGAUCCCCCCA